rnacentral:rRNA from 1 species
CCUACUGGCGGCUGCAGUGAGGAAUAUUGGUCAAUGGACGAGAGUCUGAACCAGCCAAGUAGCGUGAAGGAUGACUGCCCUAUGGGUUGUAAACUUCUUUUUUAUGGGCAUAAAAUGUUCCACGUGUGGGAUUUUGUAUGUACCGUAUUAAUAAGGAUCGGCUCAACCCGUGCCAGCAGCUGCGGUAAUACGGAGGAUCCGAGCGUUACCCGGAUUUAUUGGGUUUAGAGGGAGCGGAGGUGGUUUGUUAAGUCAGUUGGGGAAGGUUGCGGCUCAAACGUAGAAUUGCAGUAGAAUCUGGCAGUCUUGAGUAGAGUAGAGGUGGGCGGAAUUCGUGGUGUAGCGAUGAAAUGC